rnacentral:rRNA from 1 species
AACAGGAUUAGAUACCCUGGUAGUCCACGCUGUAAACGGUGGGUACUAGGUGUGGGGUCCAUUCCACGGGUUCCGUGCCGUAGCUAACGCUUUAAGUACCCCGCCUGGGGAGUACGGCCGCAAGGCUAAAACUCAAAGGAAUUGACGGGGCCCCGCACAAGCGGCGGAGCAUGCGGAUUAAUUCGAUGCAACGCGUAGAACCUUACCUGGGUUUGACAUGGAUCGGGAGUGCUCAGAGAUGGGUGUGCCUCUUUUGGGGUCGGUUCACAGGUGGUGCAUGGCUGUCGUCAGCUCGUGUCGUGAGAUGUUGGGUUAAGUCCCGCAACGAGCGCAACCCUUGUUCACUGUUGCCAGCACGUUAUGGUGGGGACUCAGUGGAGACCGCCGGGGUCAACUCGGAGGAAGGUGGGGAUGACGUCAAGUCAUCAUGCCCCUUAUGUCCAGGGCUUCACGCAUGCUACAAUGGCUGGUACAGAGAGUGGCGAGCCUGUGAGGGUGAGCGAAUCUCGGAAAGCCGGUCUCAGUUCGGAUUGGGGUCUGCAACUCGACCUCAUGAAGUCGGAGUCGCUAGUAAUCGCAGAUCAGCAACGCUGCGGUGAAUACGUUCCCGGGGCUUGUACACACCGCCCGUCAAGUCAUGAAAGUUGGUAACACCCGAAGCCGGUGGCCUAACCGUUGUGGGCGAGCCGUCGAAGGUGGGACUGGUGAUUAGGACUAAGUCGUAACAAGGUAACC